GGGCUCUUGAAAACGCCUAGAUUGACAAUCCUGAAGACCAAAGUCCUCUACUAACCCACAGAACAGAUACGGCACUGGGAGCAGCAACAUAAGAAUCCUCAAUGCUACCCUUUGUCAAUGUGCCACCUGGGAUGGGCGUGGCAGAACGCUAAGUGUACAGAGGCAGACACUAUUUACUCAUCUGAAGAUGCUAGUCACAUCACUCAAUGCACUACUGGAAGGUACUGUGAUACAACAAUGAUGCAAAUCCCCAACGCUGGGGCUCAAGAGCGUCUUGGGGAAUGAAAUGUGCGGUGCGGAAAUGCCUUCAUGUGAAAGCACUAUGGAGCCGUGGAAUUGAACCACUGAAUGGCCAGCUUGUCUUCCAAAGAAAGAGCCAAUUUAGGAGUCUGAGGCAACAGCCGAGAAAAUCCAAAUGUAAAGCAUUCGACCCUCUGCCUAAUCCAAGAGAACUGACUCGCCGUGUCCCUGCCUCCCUUCACAACUGUGUGGAGAUCAAAGGGUUUAGUUAUGAGUCAUCAAGACAAACAAGUUUGCUCUGGAUGUGCUGGGGUGAGGAGCAGGGCCUCAUUCUGCAUUACAGACCAAGGAUGUCCUGCAGUUUAUGCUCCCUAAAAACUAAAAGAGGGACGAAUCCUCGGCUGGUGUAAAUCAACAUUACUACAUUGACUUCAAUGGAACACGAUGAUUUACACCAGCCGAGAGCCAGGCCCAGGUGUUCUUCCCCUCAGGACAUGAGAGGACCACCGCCGGGUCUGGGAUGGAAUUCCCCACCCAACUUCA